rnacentral:lncRNA from 1 species
AAGGGCUGCUAUGCUCUAAGGAGCACGGAGACCUCUGUGCUCCUAAGGCAUUUUUGAUAAUGGAAUUUUCGAAUCGACGAUCGGCUCCGUUAUAACUAACCUAGCAUAUCUGAAGCAUCUAGAAAAUAAAUUUUUUGAUUUUUCGUCAUCAUUUACCUAGUGAUCGAAAGAGUUCAAAAUCAACAGUUGAAAAUAAAAUCUCUCAAAAAGUGGUGAUAUAACACUAAAAUGUUUGAUCUAAGAUAUUGACCUUGCGAUAGAUAGUGUAAAGAAUUUUCGAUCAAAAUUUCAUCUAAUUUAGAUACUUCUACAUCGUUAAACUUGAAAACGGUAUACAUCAACUGUUAAAAAUUAUUAAUUUUGAACCCUUUCGAUCGCAGAAUAAAUAAUAUUAAAAAUAGCUAAAUUUACUUUAUUAAGUCUAAUGGAGCCGAUCGUCAAUUUGAAAAUUCAAUUAUCAAAAUGGCUUAGGAGCACGGAGGCCUCCGUGCUCCUGAGAGCACAGCAACCCUCAUAUAU